rnacentral:rRNA from 1 species
UAGGGAAUCUUCCGCAAUGGGCGAAAGCCUGACGGAGCAACGCCGCGUGAGUGAAGAAGGAUUUCGGUUCGUAAAGCUCUGUUGUUAGGGAAGAAUGAUUGUGUAGUAACUAUACAUAGUAGAGACGGUACCUAACCAGAAAGCCACGGCUAACUACGUGCCAGCAGCCGCGGUAAUACGUAGGUGGCAAGCGUUGUCCGGAAUUAUUGGGCGUAAAGCGCGCGCAGGUGGUUUAAUAAGUCUGAUGUGAAAGCCCACGGCUCAACCGUGGAGGGUCAUUGGAAACUGUUAAACUUGAGUGCAGGAGAGAAAAGUGGAAUUCCUAGUGUAGCGGUGAAAUGCGUAGAGAUUAGGAGGAACACCAGUGGCGAAGGCGGCUUUUUGGCCUGUAACUGACACUGAGGCGCGAAAGCGUGGGGAGCAAACAGGAUUAGAUACCCUGGUAGUCCACGCCGUAAACGAUGAGUGCUAAGUGUUGGUCUCAUAAGAGAUCAGUGCUGCAGCUAACGCAUUAAGCACUCCGCCUGGGGAGUACGACCGCAAGGUU